GAUGAACGCUGGCGGCGUGCCUAAUACAUGCAAGUCGAGCGAACAGACGAGGAGCUUGCUCCUCUGACGUUAGCGGCGGACGGGUGAGUAACACGUGGAUAACCUACCUAUAAGACUGGGAUAACUUCGGGAAACCGGAGCUAAUACCGGAUAAUAUAUUGAACCGCUUGGUUCAAUAGUGAAAGACGGUUUUGCUGUCACUUAUAGAUGGAUCCGCGCCGCAUUAGCUAGUUGGUAAGGUAACGGCUUACCUAGGCAACGAUGCGUAGCCGACCUGAGAGGGUGAUCGGCCACACUGGAACUGAGACACGGUCCAGACUCCUACGGGAGGCAGCAGUAGGGAAUCUUCCGCAAUGGGCGAAAGCCUGACGGAGCAACGCCGCGUGAGUGAUGAAGGUCUUCGGAUCGUAAAACUCUGUUAUUAGGGAAGAACAAAUGUGUAAGUAACUAUGCACGUCUUGACGGUACCUAAUCAGAAAGCCACGGCUAACUACGUG
rnacentral:rRNA from 1 species